CUAAGCCUGUCACCGAAGCUACGGAUUGUUCCGCUUGCGGAAUAGUGGUAGGGGAGCAUUCUGCUAACCGGCGAAGGUGAGUCGUGAGGCUUGCUGGAGGAGGCAGAAGAGCGGAUGCUGGCAUAAGUAGCGAUAAAUACUGUGAGAAUCAGUAUCACCGAAAAUCUAAGGUUUCCUCCGGAAGGCUCGUCCGCGGAGGGUUAGUCGGGACCUAAGGCGAGGCCGAAAGGCGUAGUCGAUGGACAACGGGUUAAUAUUCCCGUACUGAUUUUGGAUUGUGCAGAGGGACGGAGAAGGCUAAACCAGCCAGAUGUUGGUUACUGGUUCAAGCGUUUAGAUGUUGACGACUGGCGAAAACAGUCUGAGUCGAGGCGCGAGUACGAGUGGAUACGUCCGCGAAGUGGUUGAUGUCAUGCUUCCAAGAAAAGCUCUAAACACGUUAAUCUAUAGUUGCCUGUACCCGAAACCGACACAGGUAGACAGGUAGAGUAUACCAAGGCGCUUGAGAGAACGAUGCUGAAGGAACUAGGCAAAUUGCAUCUGUAACUUCGGGAGAAGGAUGACCUAUUUAUGGGCAACCAUUUGUAGGUGGCACAAACCAGGGGGUAGCGACUGUUUAUUAAAAACACAGGGCUCUGCAAAGUCAAUAGACGAAGUAUAGGGUCUGACGCCUGCCCAGUGCUGGAAGGUUAACAGGAAGGGUGUUAAGCUCUGAAUCGAAGCCCCAGUAAACGGCGGCCGUAACUAUGACGGUCCUAAGGUAGCGAAAUUCCUUGUCGGGUAAGUUCCGACCCGCACGAAUAGCGUAACGACAGCUGCACUGUCUCCACGAUGGACUCGGCGAAAUUGUAGUUGUGGUGAAGAUGCCACAUACCCGCGGUUAGACGGAAAGACCCCGUGAACCUUUACUGUAGGCUGAUAUUGGGUUGAGAUAUGUCUUGUGUAGGAUAGCUGGGAGGCUUUGAACCGGUGGCGCUAGCCAUUGGGGAGCCGUUGUUGAAAUACCAGCCUGGUCAUAUUUUAAUUCUAACUUUGAUCCCCUGAAUCGGGGCAAAGGACAGUGUCAGUCGGGCAGUUUGACUGGGGCGGUCUCCUCCCAAAGAGUAACGGAGGAGUGCAAAGGUACACUCAGCCUGGUC
rnacentral:rRNA from 1 species